AACUAAAUAGUUUAAUAUAAAAUUUAUGGUUUGCAUUCAUAAGAUAGAUUUUUCUUUUAGUUG
rnacentral:tRNA from 1 species